rnacentral:rRNA from 1 species
UACGAAGGGGCUAGCGUUGUUCGGAAUUACUGGGCGUAAAGCGCGCGCAGGCGGUCUUCCAAGUCAGUGGUGAAAGCCCGGAGCUCAACUCCGGAACUGCCAUUGAAACUGUGAGACUUGAGGAUGAGAGAGGUGAGUGGAAUUCCCAGUGUAGAGGUGAAAUUCGUAGAUAUUGGGAAGAACACCGGUGGCGAAGGCGGCUCACUGGCUCAUUACUGACGCUCAGGCGCGACGAGCGUGGGGAUCAAACAGG